rnacentral:lncRNA from 1 species
AAACGAGUCCUAAAACAUUUUGAGGAAUUUUGACACCCCGCCUUUAAUUCCUCCGCUAUUUAAUUCCUCAGUCGGUUUUAAGACAGUCGGUUCUAAGAAUAUCGGCGUCAGGUGCUUCCUUUUUUUUCUUCCCCCUUGAGGAGGGGGACAAAGAUUGCUCAUAUCUUUAUUGUCCUGGUGAUCCACUAAAGCACCAUCCGCUGAAAAAAGGUCGAAUAAUUAUUUUAUCAAAAAAAAAAAAGACGCCCAAAAGUGAGAACUUCAGAAAGCGGCUAAUACCAUCUGCCGGAUUCCUUAUUCCCGUUGCUUUUUUCCUUGAAUUCUAAUUAUCAUAACCGUGUUUCAGACGUAAUCAGUUCUCAUUUCCCAUCUCGCAUAUCUAGUUCCUGGUUGUGUGUGUCCAACCACAAAAAGCCCUAAACAAAUACAACGUUUGGUGCCAUUUUCACAAGAAAACUUUAACAGCAAUUUACCAACAAACGUUGAGCAAUAAACUGUAACCAUCCUUUUAGGAAUCGAUUUACAUUCACGAUGACAGAGAGGAGAGCGCAUAGCCAAUCAAAACCCACAGAUCAUAUAUUUAGUCAUCCCCUCUUAUUUUUCAUACCGAGGGCAUACAUGGCAGAAACUCACCUCAAACACGCACUCUCCUCCACACGGUAGGUAGCUAAGAAACACAAGUAUCACAAACGCCAUUGCCCCCAUCACAGCCACUGCCGGUCCCGUCACAAAAACCGGUGGCCCCGAUGAACACCGGCCUUCCCUGCCUCCGACGACGCUUCCGAGAGGCCUCGGGAUCAUCCACACUAGUAAAUAUGAUCCAAGAUAUGAUGGAGAGCCAUAUGACGAUCACGCAGUACAAGGCUUCACCUCCGAAGCCAUCACUCCACAUAGCUUCCAUGGCCAUAGCUUGAAGCUUGUUUCUCCUUCCUCCCUGCUAUAGAACAGAGGAAAAAAAGACGCCUUUAUAUAGUUAGCCUUGCUUGGAGUGCCCACUCUCAUACCAUCCAUGAGAUAAAGCGACCUCUAAGGCAAGUUCUAAUGCGUGAUCACCAAUAGAAGGCGGCUAGCAAGCGUUUGCUUAAGGGCUAAGAAAAGGGUGGCCCAGUUGGAGUGGACCUCAGGGCGUCCCUGCACCCGAGGUCAUCAUAUGAGGAAAAUGACAAGCUUCUUGAUAGUGAUAUGGUGGUACUGAAAUGUUGA